AAGCAAUAAAAGAAGAAAAAAAAUAGAACUAACGUUUUAAGGUGAGUGACGGCAUCAACAUUGUUGAUGUCCAUUGACUCUCGUAAUCACUUAGCACCUAGUGGAUUAAUAAUAUUGUGAUUAAAUAUAUUUUUAUCAUCAAUAAAACGUAAUUUAAAAUUUAAAAUCAUUUAUUUAUUUAUUGUGACAGAAAAGAAAAUUGCAUAAUAUUAAACCUCAAAAUAUUGGGCAGAAUCAAAACUUACUUCCCGCUAAGCAACUUAACGUAGGUGUCACCAUAUUUGAUUAGAUCUAAAUUUCCGUUAGAAAUAAACUCAUCACCUUGAACCCAUAACAUUCCGUAUCACGAAAAAAAAAAAAAGAAACUAGUUUUUACACAAACACACCGAAUCCCUAGUUUACAGAUAACACAGCACGUGGUCUCGAAUCGAUAGGUCAUUAGCCCACAAGUGGGAGAGAGACUGGAGAUCGUGACGUCACGAGGUGCCUCUCACUCGGUCGCAAGGUCGACUCCCUUCGCUUUUAGGAUUCAUCACGCUACGCCUCUUCCGGGGUAAACGGUGCCAUGUUAAAUUCGCGAAUUCGAUUUUAGAAUCGAACCCAAUUGGUUACUAUCUACCUGAUGUGAACAUUAAGAAGUUUUUAUUAUGACUAAAUGUAAUUAAAAACGCAAUAUGACACAACUGCAUGCGGUGAGCUGCGCGAGUUCAAACUUCGAACACACAAAUGUGUGUUCGAAGUUUAUUUGUUGUGAGGUUGUCAACAUUUUUCCGGGGUCAACGAACUGUUAACGUAAAUCGUAUUACCACAUUAACGAACAAAAUAAAACAUUUAGAUUUCGAAUUUCGAAUUUGUUAAAAAACAGUAGGUACUAAUAUUAUAAUUUGAACGUGGAAUUACGGGAAUUCCAUUAGUGUUGUCGAUAACCGAGGAUUAUUGUAAUUUUUUUAAAUAUGAUUAUCAAAAAAGUUUGAAGAAAUAUUUCAAAAAAAAAAAAAACGCUGGAGUUUAGCAUCGAUUGCCAAAAAUUUCGCUAGUCUGGUAAAGCGGCAGAAUAAUAUCGCUCCGCGAUUCUACAUUCGAAACUAGAGUUCAACAGCAUUUCACCGAAAUCUACUUUGUUUGGGUCCUCGGGUCAACGAACCGGUGUGACGCCUGUGAGUCUGUGUGCGCGCGCCGCUGUGUCCGCACACGCCGACGCACGCACACACAGCCGGCACGCCUUGCGUACAACGCGCCUAAUGGGCAACUUUGUCUCUUAAUUACACGGUAACCGUACGCAUUUUUCGACUAAUAAUUAUUUAUUUCGGACGUGUGCGUCAGCCGUCGGUGGGUCGCGAAGGAAUUCUCCCUUAACUAUGAAAACUGAAAGGUUUUCGUCCGAACUCCGCGCGGGGCGACUGAACUAUCACUAUGAGCUAAGUUGAUUAUUCGGCUCGAGUGAAAAAAAAAUAUAUAAUUUUUUCGUGAGCCUCGCCGAAGAUUCGUCAAUGCGUCAGUAACGUUCGGGCCGCAGUGCCGUCAACAUCCUCCGACUUGCCAGUUGUCGUCGCGAGUCAGACUUGUGCACAACCUUAUAGUACAAAAAUUACAACGUACAAAUUUUUUUCUCUUUGCAGCCAGUGAGGUGAUCGCAACUUGUUUUUUUUUUUUUGUUUUUUUUUUUUUUUAACUGAAGUGGACAGUGCCUCGAGUGCUACAGUGAACGGGAUCGGUUUUCCAUUUACGUAAACGGAACGUGGUGGCGUCUAAACGUGUUCCAAAUUUAAAAUUUCAAAUAUCUAGUGACCGACGUAAAUUCGAUAUAUUGAGAUUUUGGUACUGAUCGAACGGCUCCGUUCGGUCGGCUAAAAUCGUUCUCUUUUCAAACUUCGAAUUGGCACUCUAACAGCUCUAUUUUUUUUAUUUUGAUUCGUUUAAAUUCUUUUUUUAAAUCAAAAUAAAUCCUUCCCUCUGCUUUGGUUUUCUCUUUACAGAUUUUGUGUAACUUUCGAGUUAUAUUCAAAGCAAAAGCUGUAGUGGAAACAAGUGAACACAGUAAACAAAUAAAACACAGUGCCUUAUGAUAUAUAAUGUUUUGAGACGAGAGCGAAACAUAAAAAACAGAAUCACGGAGACAAAAUGCCAAAAAACUUGCUACUCUUCAAAAAGAUAAUACCAGAAAUAAAUUUCGCUAAAAGGAAUCUCACAUCGCCGCUCGGCCGGAAUAUAUUUAUCAGUUAAACGACCGGCGCUGGUGAAACGCAAGUCAACAAAGUUGAAGAAACAAUCCGGGCAGUGCCAUAAAGUUUUCUCCAAGAUAAACCUUAUGGUGACAUAAACAAAAACAAAAAAAAAAAAUACAACCGCAAAACAGUUGCCUUAACGACAUAGUCGAUAUUAAAAAAAAAAAAAAAAACAAACACAAACACAAAAUCAAAAAAGGAACACCGAAUAGUGAUACUAGUGCAUAGCCGCGAUGCGAAUUCGAUUCGCGAAAAACAACCACUGGCCGAAAAUAACCUAAAAAGGUUUCUUUACUGACUUAGACAAUUGAAUUUCGUACGAUGAAUAACAACCAGUUUCCGGAGCUGUUUGGAUCUCAAUGGCCUCCGGACCAGCACGGGGGCCACUCCUCGGCCUCGACGAUGCUGCAUCAGCAGUCGCUUCCUCAAGGAAUGCAGCUGAAAAGGGAACCUCACACCGACAUCGGUGUCGGGAUGCACAAUCAAAUGGGAAUGGACAUCACUUCCGGUUCCGUAGCGGACAGCACCUCGCCGCCGCCGGGCAGCAGCGACGGCAUCUUCGGCUCAUCGAUAUCGGGCAUGUUCAUGGAUAAAAAAGCCGCUAAUUCUAUAAGAGCCCAAAUCGAGAUAAUACCGUGCAAGGUAUGCGGAGAUAAAUCGUCGGGGGUGCACUAUGGCGUGAUCACCUGCGAGGGAUGCAAAGGAUUCUUCAGACGAUCCCAGAGCACAGUGGUGAACUACCAGUGUCCUCGCAACAAGGCCUGCGUCGUGGACAGGGUCAACCGCAACCGAUGCCAGUACUGCAGACUACAGAAGUGCCUCAAACUCGGCAUGAGUCGUGAUGCCGUCAAAUUCGGUCGCAUGUCGAAGAAGCAGCGGGAGAAGGUCGAGGACGAGGUCAGAUACCACAAGGCGCAGAUGCGGGUGCAGGCUGAUGCGGCGCCGGACUCCGUGUACGACGCCCAGCAGCAGACGCCCAGCUCGAGCGACCAGUUCCACGGGCAUUAUAACAGCUACCCAGGAUACGGGUCGCCGUUGUCUUCGUAUGGCUACAACAACGCCGGGCCAGCGCUACCCUCGAACAUGAGCGGGAUGCAGCCGCAGCCCCCAGCUCAGCCCCCGUACGAGGUCUCAGGCGACUACGUGGACUCCACAACGACAUACGAGCCCAAACAGACAGGGUUCUUGGACGCAGACUUCAUAAGUCACGUGGAGGGUGACAUUAGCAAGGUGCUAGUGAAAAGUUUGACAGAGGCGCACGCGAAUACAAAUCCGAAGUUGGAUUACAUACAUGAGAUGUUCGGCAAGCCCCAGGAUGUUUCUAAGCUCUUGUUCUAUAACUCCAUGACCUACGAGGAGAUGUGGUUGGACUGCGCCGACAAGCUCACCGCGAUGAUCCAGAACAUCAUUGAGUUCGCGAAACUCAUACCUGGUUUCAUGAAGCUCACCCAGGACGAUCAAAUACUGCUGCUUAAAUCAGGUUCGUUCGAGUUGGCGAUCGUCCGUUUGUCGCGGCUAAUCGACGUGAACCGCGACCAGGUGCUCUACGGAGACGUGGUGCUACCCGUGCGGGAAUGCGUGCACGCGCGCGAUCCCAGAGACGUAGCUCUGGUGCAAGGAAUCUUUGAGGCUGCCAAGAGCAUCGCUCGACUGAAGCUGACCGAGACUGAACUGGCUCUAUACCAGAGCCUUGUGCUCCUGUGGCCAGAGCGCCACGGCGUGAUGGGCAACUCGGAGAUCAGGUGUCUCUUCAAUAUGUCCAUGUCGGCGAUGCGGCAUGAGAUCGAGGUCAACCACGCGCCGCUCAAGGGUGACGUCACCGUGCUGGAUACACUCCUGGCCAAGAUACCCACUUUCAGGUAACUAAUAAAUAAUAAUAACAAUAAGGCCAUGCCAUGUGGCACGUUUUUCGAAUCCUCCCGAUCCACUAACGGUGCUUUUAGGUACCUCAAGCACCGGUCACCGUUCUCGUCGAACCCGUCGCUUGCGACGAAGGGCUCGACGAGUAAAUUAACCCUCAGACACAGCCCACUGAGUUUCUCGCCGGAUCUUCUCAGUGGGUCGCGUUUCCGAUCCGGUGGUAGAUUCUAUUCUGCGAAGCACGGCUCUUGCUAGGGUCAGUGUUAGCAACGUCCUCAGGUUAGAGCCCCGCGAGCUCACCUACUAGUUAAGGUUACGCUGAAAUAGCCUCUCAAGGCUAUCAGCUUAGAUAGGAAAAUCAAACUAAGUUUAAGGGCUUUUAAUUGUCUGGUUUGGUUUUGAUUCUCGUCAAUUGUUAUUACAGAGAUCUCUCCCUGAUGCACCUCGGAGCGCUGAGCCGUUUCAAAGCGACGCAUCCGCAUCACGUUUUCCCAGCUUUAUACAAAGAAUUGUUCUCUUUAGACAGUGUUUUAGAUUACACGCACGGAUAAUUGCAUCUUCGGCACAUCGACGAUGACGGCUUUCACGGUAUUCACGUCCGCCGAUAAUAGAUGGCGUUAGUGAGCCGCAUUUUUUCUUUUUCUAAUUUAUAUACUUGACAGCUACUCCCGACUUCCCGGCAAAACUGAACGGGUACCGGAAACAAAAAAAAAAAAGAAGUUGCAUGCUAGUCUAUGGAGCGCGGGAGAGAUUGCAUGCGACAUGUUUAAUUUUUUUUUUUUUUUUUCGAAUUCAAAUUCGCGAUAAGGCUGCAGGUACGCGUUCAGUUUUGUUUGAUGUAUUUUUUAUUUUAUUUUCGUGUAUGUCUGCGCGCGUGCGGACGCAAUAUGAAUAAUGUUAAAUGUAUCUAACUUUGAAUGAAGAAAUAAUAAUAAUUAUUAUUAUAUAAAGGUAUAAAAUAGGAAUAGAGUUUUUAUUAAGAGAUAAAAAGUUUAUUAUGUAGUGAGUUUUAAUAUCACACGUAUUUCAUGGAAAUAAAUCGUAAAGUUUUUUUUUUUUAAAUAGGUCUUUUUUAAUUAUUUUUAACAGUUUUUUUUUUAAAGAAUGUAACUUGUUAUUUAUUUCAAAUGAUUAUAUUAUUGAUGUUUCUCUUUGUAGAUUUCUCGGUUAAGUUGUAUUAUAAGUUAUAAUUGAUACUGCCCAAUUUAUACUUCUUUUUUUUUUGUAAAUUUUCCAUUCUUCUUUUUAAUAAUCUGCUUAAGAAUACAAAACAAUCAGUUCGCAUUGUCUGAUAUAAUUUAAAAUCCAAUUAAAAUUCAAUUCAGUCCGCGAUAUGAGAACUUCUACUGAUUCGCGUUGGUCUACAACUGACAAUAAUCAGACAGCGGUCAGUCGAGUUUGACAAUAAGACUGCAUUAUAGGGGCUGCCUUUUUUUUUUUGUUGAAUCGUGAAUCGAUGUUACCAAAAGCGUCACACUGAACAAAAUUUCGAACAAUUAAAGUAACUUACACAAGUACACUGUUUAAGAGCAGGCAAUUAAAACCUUAAUUUGAUCUCAUUAAUUAUUCUUUUUGCACGCAACGUUUUCGGGUGCCAUCUGCGAAAUUAAAACAAAGCAUAAUACAUCUUCAAGUACACUUACACCACAAAAAAAUGCAUAAUAUUAUUUUAAAACGUUUUUUUUUUUUUUCGUUUUUAACUUUAUUUCUUUUUUUACGUAAAUGCUCGGUUUUCUUAUAAAAUUUUGAUACGAAUAUUUCGUAAUUGCCUGCUACGUAAUGAAAAAAAAAAAACCUAGUAAUAAAAUAACCAAUCAAAUUUCUCUAACACUCAAGGUCGGACGGCGUUCACUUUGACAGCUGUCAAAUCUGUCAUCUGUCAAAGUGUCUCCCCUCCGCCUUUAUAAUAAGUUUGUCGAAUAGCCUUACUAUAGACUGGUUUAUAUUAAUGUUAAAAAAAGUAUAUUAUUAUUAUAAUUAUUAUUAAAGAAAAAUAAUUAAAUCUUAACUUGUAUUUUGUAAAUAGCUAUAAAAAAAAGAAAUAUGUAUUUUAUAUUUAAUACUGUAAGGUUCGAUGGGUUAAUAUUAAUUUUUACAUUAUAUGUAUAGAAGCGAGAUACGACAAAGGAUCAAAACAAAAUUUUACACUAUCAGCGCUCGUGAGCUAUAUUUAAAAAAAAAAAAACGUUAAAAAGUUGUAUCGUGUGGAAAAUGUUGUUUUUUUUCCUUAUAUUAUAUUUAUAUAUAUAUAUUUUUUGUUAAAUAAAGCAAUCUGUUAUUGUCCA